AAUAGAAAAAGGCAAACCUUUCGAAAGAGAGUGACGCAAAGCUACGGGCCUAACUCUUAAGACAUGGUCGCCGGGCUGCCAAA
rnacentral:ncRNA from 1 species